rnacentral:lncRNA from 1 species
CUGUAUUUGUGUUUUUGUUAGACGAGUCCGAUAGUGAGGGAGAUAAGUCUUUGCUCAUCAAAUAUAAAGACACCUUAGAUGGAAACAAUCCUCUGCUGGAGAGAUAGUUAACAUAACUACAGGUGUUUCCCUCCAAAUCUGUAAACUCUAAAAUGCGUUUGAAGGAAUGGUCUGCCAGGACAACCUCUAUGUUUUGUAGACACCCUUUACUUGAGUUACCAUCUGGGAAGUACAAAUCCUUGGCCCUUUAUAAAAUAUCAUCCGAAGUCACUUCUGCGGACAUAAUCACUUCCCUCAAACCACCACCACCCGAAUAGAAGGGUAACUGUAAAUAUACC